AAAAUCCAUAACAACGAACGAGAAAGUGGGAGACCACAAGCACUUGCAGGCAGCAGCAGCCAAGAGGUACGAUCUCUGCAGCAAUGCUCCACCUUCACCUUCACCCUAUCCUCACUUCUCCGCGCAAUUCACCCCCAAUCACGACCGUCCACUCCAACCUAUUCCCCAUUUGGACCUCAACAUCAAUGGCCCCUGUUCACCUUCGACCAAAGCCCUUAAUUAAUUCCAUAACGUGCAUGGCCAAACCCAGGAGAGUGAAAAUGGUGGCCAAGCAGAUUCAAAGAGAGCUUUCCGAUAUGCUUCUAACUGAUACGGUGCUACAGUACGCCGUUCUGCCGGAGUCUGCUUUGGGUGCUGAUAGAUAUCUGUCUUCUCUUACCACCAUCAGUGACGUUGAAGUCUCCGCUGAUUUGCAGGUGGUUAAAGUGUAUGUAUCUGUUUUUGGAGAUGACAGAGGAAAGGAGGUUGCGAUUGCUGGGUUAAAAUCGAAAGCCAAGUAUGUUAGGAGUGAGUUAGGGAGGCGUAUGAAGUUAAGGCUGACUCCUGAGAUACGUUUUAUUGAAGAUGAAUCUCUGGAGAGAGGAAGCAGGGUGAUUGCAAUAUUAGAUAGAAUUAAAGCUGAGAAGGAGAAUGGCUUAGAUGAAGAUGAUCUAUCUGAAUCAUAUGAUUCACCUCAAGAUGAUAGAGAUUGGGAGGGUGAUGACCCUGAUGAGGACAUUAUAUAUGUAAAAUAGACACUUCAGCAAUUGCCUGGCUUCACAGUUGUUUGAUUUUCAGGCAUGGCCAUGCUUCAUAUCCGGGGAGAGAUUAUAAGCAUACUGUUAAUAUGGCAGAAGCAAAUCUGCCUCCUGGACCAUCUCAUCCUGUGAGAACUUAGCCAUGAUUUUUUGUCUUACUCGUCUAAUAUGUAGUUUAUGCAUGUAGUAUAUGAUUUUCCAAUUAAUUUUUCGAUUUUAAUGUGACUGUCAGAUUCAGAAUAGUGUUGAAAACUGCUAAAAUCUUUAAUGCAUAACAUAUUAAGCUUAACACAAA